GAAUGCUGACAUAAGUAACGAUAAAGCGGGUGAAAAGCCCGCUCGCCGGAAGACCAAGGGUUCCUGUCCAACGUUAAUCGGGGCAGGGUGAGUCGACCCCUAAGGCGAGGCCGAAAGGCGUAGUCGAUGGGAAACGGGUUAAUAUUCCCGUACUUGGUGUUACUGCGAAGGGGGGACGGAGAAGGCUAUGUUGGCCGGGCGACGGUAGUCCCGGUUUAAGCGUGUAGGUGUGUGUUCCAGGUAAAUCCGGUUCACUUUAACACUGAGGCGUGAUGACGAGGCACCACGGUGCUGAAGCAACAAAUGCCCUGCUUCCAGGAAAAGCCUCUAAGCAUCAGGUAACAUCAAAUCGUACCCCAAACCGACACAGGUGGUCAGGUAGAGAAUACCAAGGCGCUUGAGAGAACUCGGGUGAAGGAACUAGGCAAAAUGGUGCCGUAACUUCGGGAGAAGGCACGCUGACACGUAGGUGAAGUGAUUUACUCAUGGAGCUGAAGUCAGUCGAAGAUACCAGCUGGCUGCAACUGUUUAUUAAAAACACAGCACUGUGCAAACACGAAAGUGGACGUAUACGGUGUGACGCCUGCCCGGUGCCGGAAGGUUAAUUGAUGGGGUCAGCGCAAGCGAAGCUCCUGAUCGAAGCCCCGGUAAACGGCGGCCGUAACUAUAACGGUCCUAAGGUAGCGAAAUUCCUUGUCGGGUAAGUUCCGACCUGCACGAAUGGCGUAAUGAUGGCCAGGCUGUCUCCACCCGAGACUCAGUGAAAUUGAACUCGCUGUGAAGAUGCAGUGUACCCGCGGCAAGACGGAAAGACCCCGUGAACCUUUACUAUAGCUUGACACUGAACAUUGAGCCUUGAUGUGUAGGAUAGGUGGGAGGCUUUGAAGCGUGGACGCCAGUCUGCGUGGAGCCGACCUUGAAAUACCACCCUUUAAUGUUUGAUGUUCUAACGUGGACCCGUAAUCCGGGUUGCGGACAGUGUCUGGUGGGUAGUUUGACUGGGGCGGUCUCCUCCUAAAGAGUAACGGAGGAGCACGAAGGUUGGCUAAUCCUGGUCGGACAUCAGGAGGUUAGUGCAAUGGCAUAAGCCAGCUUGACUGCGAGCGUGACGGCGCGAGCAGGUGCGAAAGCAGGUCAUAGUGAUCCGGUGGUUCUGAAUGGAAGGGCCAUCGCUCAACGGAUAAAAGGUACUCCGGGGAUAACAGGCUGAUACCGCCCAAGAGUUCAUAUCGACGGCGGUGUUUGGCACCUCGAUGUCGGCUCAUCACAUCCUGGGGCUGAAGUAGGUCCCAAGGGUAUGGCUGUUCGCCAUUUAAAGUGGUACGCGAGCUGGGUUUAGAACGUCGUGAGACAGUUCGGUCCCUA
rnacentral:rRNA from 1 species